CCUACGGGUGGCAGCAGUGGGGAAUAUUGGACAAUGGGCGAAAGCCUGAUCCAGCCAUGCCGCGUGUGUGAAGAAGGCCUUCGGGUUGUAAAGCACUUUCAGUGGGGAAGAAAGCCUUGGGGCUAAUACCCUCGAGGAAGGACAUCACCCACAGAAGAAGCACCGGCUAACUCCGUGCCAGCAGCCGCGGUAAUACGGAGGGUGCGAGCGUUAAUCGGAAUUACUGGGCGUAAAGCGCGCGUAGGCGGUCUGAUAAGCCGGUUGUGAAAGCCCCGGGCUCAACCUGGGAACGGCAUCCGGAACUGUCAGGCUAGAGUGCAGGAGGGGAAGGUAGAAUUCCCGGUGUAGCGGUGAAAUGCGUAGAGAUCGGGAGGAAUACCAGUGGCGAAGGCGGCCUUCUGGACUGACACUGACGCUGAGGUGCGAAAGCGUGGGUAGCAAACAGGAUUAGAUACCCUAGUAGUC
rnacentral:rRNA from 1 species